CCUUGACCAUGUAAACACAACUUUUCAAAAAAUCCAAAAACCCCAUAACGCAAGCAAACACUUAACUACACCGCCUUGCCGAUUUCUAAGCUGGCAAAGGCUAUCUCAAACUAACCAAAACCUACACGCAACUUUCUAAGAAUAGAAACUUAAGGCUCUGGCGUAGCCCAAAACUGGGGUUAAUUCCCGAUGGGUGAGGAGGCCCGGAAUGGUUCUUCACUGAAAAGGCGCUAGAGGCAUGCUCUCUAACGUUGCCCAAGGAUGGGGCCGCGGCCGAUCAGGUUGUUGGUGAGGUAACGGCUCACCAAGCCUAUAACCGGUACGGGCCGUGAGAGCGGAAGCCCGGAGAUGGGCACUGAGAUAAGGGCCCAGGCCCUACGGGGCGCAGCAGUUGCGAAAACUCCGCAAUGCACGAAAGUGUGACGGGGCUACCCCGAGUGCCGUCCGCUGAGGAUGGCUUUUCUCCGCUGUAAGGAGGCGGAGGAAUAAGGAGAGGGCAAGACUGGUGUCAGCCGCCGCGGUAAUACCAGCUCUCCGAGUGGUAGGGGUGAUUAUUGGGCUUAAAGCGUCCGUAGCCGGCCUGGCAAGUCUUCCGUUAAAUCCAGCAACCUAAUUGUUGGGCUGCGGGGGAUACUGUUAGGCUAGGGGGCGGGAGAGGCCGACGGUAUUCUCGGGGUAGGGGUGAAAUCUUGUAAUCCCGAGAGGACCACCAGUGGCGAAAGCUGUCGGCUAGCACGCGCCUGACGGUGAGGGACGAAAGCUGGGGAACGACCGGAU
rnacentral:rRNA from 1 species